CGGCGGACGGGUGAGUAACACGUGGAUAACCUACCUAUAAGACUGGGAUAACUUCGGGAAACCGGAGCUAAUACCGGAUAAUAUAUUGAACCGCAUGGUUCAAUAGUGGAAGACGGUUUUGCUGUCACUUAUAGAUGGAUCCGCGCCGCAUUAGCUAGUUGGUAAGGUAACGGCUUACCAAGGCAACGAUGCGUAGCCGACCUGAGAGGGUGAUCGGCCACACUGGAACUGAGACACGGUCCAG
rnacentral:rRNA from 1 species